AUUGAACGCUGGCGGCAUGCCUAACACAUGCAAGUCGAACGGCAGCACAGGGGAGCUUGCUCCCUGGGUGGCGAGUGGCGGACGGGUGAGUAACGCGUAGGAAUCUGCCUUAUAGUGGGGGAUAACUCGGGGAAACUCGAGCUAAUACCGCAUAAUCUUUACGAAGUAAAGCAGGGGAUCUUCGGACCUUGCGCUAUAAGAUGAGCCUGCGUUGGAUUAGCUAGUUGGUAGGGUAAAGGCCUACCAAGGCGACGAUCCAUAACUGGUCUGAGAGGAUGACCAGUCACACUGGGACUGAGACACGGCCCAGACUCCUACGGAGGCAGCAGUGGGGAAUAUUGGACAAUGGGGGCAGCCCUGAUCCAGCAAUGCCGCGUGUGUGAAGAAGGCCUGCGGGUUGUAAAGCACUUUUAGUUAAGAGGAAAGGUUGAUUGCGAAUAGCAGUUGACUGUGACGCUAUUAACAGAAAAAGCACCGGCUAACUCUGUGCCAGCCGCCGCGGUAA
rnacentral:rRNA from 1 species